UGCCGAGAGGAUGUUGGGAUGACGUCAAGUCUUCAUGGCUUACGCUCGACUACACACCGUGCUACCAUGUGGUGACAGUGGGCCAGCGAAUCGCGAGGUCCGAGCUAAUCUCCAAAGGCAUCUCAGUCGAUGCACUCUGCACUCGAGUGCAUGAGUGAUCGCUAGUAUCGCCGGAUCAGCAUGCGCGGUGAAUACGUUCCCGGGCUUGUACACACGCCCGUCACACCAUGGGAGUUGGUUUUACCCGAAGGCGCUGUGCUAACCGCAAGGAGGCAGGCGACACGGUAGGGUCAGCGACUGGGGUGAAGUCGUAACAAGGUAGCCGUAGGGGAACCUGCGGCUGGAUCACCUCCUUUCUAAGGAAGAACCCUAAUGGAAACGCUCAUCUGAUGAGCCUCUGCCUUUCGGUUCUCUUGGAACAAGACAGAAGAUAGUCAAUCUUACUGUCGUGCAUACCUAAAGCGGGUCUGCCGCCUUCGUUUCUCUUUCUUCGCGAAUGACUAACCUCCCUUUGGCUAAGCCCACAAGGCGUGCCUUGCCGGUGCAAUUGGUGCCAGCAGGGUUCGGUUUAGGGCUUGUAGCUCAGUUGGUUAGAGCGCGCGCUUGAUAAGCGUGAGGUCGGAGGUUCAAGUCCUCCCAGGCCCACCAUUUCCUCGACAAGGUAUCAGGGGCCGUAGCUCAGCUGGGAGAGCGCCUGCUUUGCAAGCAGGAUGUCGUCGGUUCGAUCCCGUCCGGCUCCACCAUUAACGCGCAAUCCGCGGGAUUGUCGCGUGGGUGUCGAGUAGAGAUGGUUGCCGUGGUCAGUCAUUCGAUAAUGAGUUUGCGUCGAGCCUCGUGCUCUGCGCCUGUUCUGUUUGACAUCGUAAAGAGAAGAUUUGUUCGAACUUCAUGAGCCGCAAGGAUCAUGAUUUGUCGCAAGGGACGCUCAAUCCCUUGCAUAUGAUGGGUUUGCCUAACCGCGCCCUCGAACCGAUCUCGAGAAGCUGGUCUUUUUGUGCCAAUUCCAUUGAAGCAAGUCCCGCACAGGAUUUGCUCGGAUGACGAUCUCUCCGAGAUCGCAUGAUGGGUAUUGGCAAUGAGAACGAUCAAGUGUCUUAAGGGCAAUUGGUGGAUGCCUUGGCAUGCACAGGCGAUGAAGGACGUGAUACGCUGCGAUAAGCUACGGGGAGGUGCGAAUCCGUAACAGGG
rnacentral:sRNA from 1 species